rnacentral:rRNA from 1 species
GUCGGAUUAGCUAGUUGGUGGGGUAAAGGCCUACCAAGGCGACGAUCCGUAGCUGGUUUGAGAGGACGACCAGCCACACUGGGACUGAGACACGGCCCAGACUCCUACGGGAGGCAGCAGUGGGGAAUCUUGGACAAUGGGGGGAACCCUGAUCCAGCCAUUCCGCGUGUGCGAUGAAGGCCUUCGGGUUGUAAAGCACUUUUGGCAGGGAAGAAAUUGCGCGGGCUAAUACCCUGCGUGGAUGACGGUACCUGCAGAAUAAGCACCGGCUAACUACGUGCCAGCAGCCGCGGUAAUACGUAGGGUGCAAGCGUUAAUCGGAAUUACUGGGCGUAAAGGGUGCGCAGGUGGCUCGGAAAGAAAGAUGUGAAAUCCCAGGGCUCAACCUUGGAACUGCAU